rnacentral:rRNA from 1 species
GAUCAUGGCUCAGGAUGAACGCUAGCUACAGGCUUAACACAUGCAAGUCGAGGGGAAACGACAUCGAAAGCUUGCUUUUGAUGGGCGUCGACCGGCGCACGGGUGAGUAACGCGUAUCCGACCUGCCCACCACUUGGGGAUAACCUUGCGAAAGUAAGACUAAUACCCAAUGACAUCCCACGAAGACAUCUGAAUGGGAUUAAAGGAUUUUACGUACGGUAGAUGGGAUGGG